UACGUAGGGGGCGAGCGUUGUCCGGAUUUACUGGGCGUAAAGCGCGUGUAGGCGGGAGAUUAAGUUGGGUGUGAAAGCCCGGGGCUCAACCCCGGGAUGCCGCCCAAGACUGGUCUCCUUGAGGACGGAAGAGGGGAGUGGAAUUCCUGGUGUAGCGGUGAAAUGCGUAGAUAUCUGGAGGAACACCGGUGGCGAAGGCGGCAUCCUGGACCGGCAUUGACGCUGAUGAGCGAAAGCCAGGGGAGCAAACGGG
rnacentral:rRNA from 1 species